ensembl:snRNA U6 U6 spliceosomal RNA
GUGCUUGCUUCAGCAGCACAUAUGUAUACUAACACUGGAAUAACCCAGAGAAGAUUAGCAUGGCCCCUGAGUAAGGAUGACACACACAUUCGUAAAACAUUCUGUAUUAAA